UUUAAAUAGCUGCAGUAUUUUAACUGUACUAAGGUAGCAUAAUAAUUAGUCUUUUAAUUGAGGUCUGGAAUGAACGGUUUAACAAGGUGAAAACUUUCUUAUUUAAAUUACUUUGAAUUUAAUUUUUUAGUUAAAAAGCUAAAAUUUUUAAAUGGGACGAUAAGACCCUAUAGAUCUUAAAUUUUUUUUUAUCUUAAUUUCUUGGUUAAUAAAAUGUUAAAAUUUUAAAAAAAAUUUUUGUUGGGGUGACAUUAAAAUUUUUAAAUCUUUUAAUCAUUUUUACAUAAAUAAAUGUAUAUUUGAUCUUAACAUUUAGAUUAAAAAAUUAAGAUACCUUAGGGAUAACAGCGUAAUAAAUUUGAAUAGUUCAUAUUGAUAAAUUUGUUUACGACCACGAUGUUGAAUUAAUAUAAAAUUUUAGAGCAGAAACUUAAAGUUUAGGUCUGUUCGACCUUUAAAUAUUACA
rnacentral:rRNA from 1 species